UAGAGGGAGAAGGGCCAGCUGCCGGAGAGGCAGCUACCUGAACUGGAGCAGUGCUGGGGAGCUCCAGCCUGGAACUGAAAAAAAAAAUGUCAAAAUCAUGAAGUUUCCUGACUACAAAUCCAGCUCCCAUCUGCCCAGAAGCUCCAUCUCUGUGCUGGUCCAAGGCCUCCCUGCACCCCUAUGUACCCAGCGGCUUCUCACCCGGGGGGUGCCAGAGGCCACUCUAUGCUGUAACAGGGGUUCCCCCAGCAGGGAAGAGAAGGAAGAGUUGCUGCAGCCCCAGAACCUUCACAAACCCAUUCGGAGCUCCAGGUUCCAUAAGAAAUGUGAUGGAGUCCUCUGUGAUACCUGGCGUGAAUCCUAGGAGUCCUAGAAGAGGACACGGACUAUUUUGUGCCAUCUCCUCAUAGCACAUGGAUUAAGCUCUUUGCAGGCCCCCGAUCCAAACACUAGUCCCUCAACCUUACCUCCUUGCCUUGCCAGCGAACCAGAGGCAUAAUGGGACACUCACUGAGUCCGCUCACACAUGGCACAGGAGGGAGGAGCUCCAUCGCUCGGCGGCUGGUCUCACUCCCAUCCUGUGUGGGAGGAAGAGCCAGUGUUGGGAAGCAGCUGAUUCCAUGCACCAAGGAGAAACCAGCCCCCUCACCUUCCGCGGAGUGUCACUGGGCAGGAGUGCUGCUUGGCUCAACCUCCAUCACGGUCAAUUUCAUUCUGUGCUCCCCUGCCCCCACCCGCAGUCUGUGUGCGCAUGCAUAGUAGGAAGCGUGACUGCAGGCUGGCUCCCAGAACCAGCUGGCAGCAGGUGGGAGCUCUCACAGCAAAGCCCAGGCAACAGAACUGACACACACACACAAAGAAUCCAAUAGCCCAUGACAGAUGGCUCCAGCAGCUUGCAUCCUCCCCUCACCCCCCAUCUUUUCCCUUUCUCUGCUUUUUUUCAUUCACUUCCCCUCUCCUUUCUUUUCUUUCACGUCUCCUCCUCUAGACUUUUUCUCUCAUUUCUUUUUCUUAUUUCAGCCUUCACUGCUCCCUCUCCCCAACCACUUUUUGCUCCCUCUCUUUCCUCCUUCCUAUCUCAUCUCUGUGCAUUUAUUUGUUUUAUGAAGUUUGAGCUGCUGGAAGGACAGACCUGCAGACAUCCAGGUUGGGAGCUGCACGGGAACCAGAAUUUCCAUUCUGCAGGAAAUUCCAUGAUUUCCUCAUGUAUUUUCUUUCCAAAUCGGGGGGGGGGGGGAGUCAAAUUUCAAACUUCCCCAUGAAGUGAAAUAUUGUUUUGGGCCAAUCGAAGGGUUUCAUUUCAAUAAAAGCCAAAGGUUGGGUUACAAUUUUUAAAAUUUAAGCCUUUUUUAAAAUAACAAAAUAAAUUUUUUGCAACAACAACUCAUUUCAAAACCCCAAAUCGAAACAUUCCAUUCCCAAACUGUCAAAAUGGAAGAGCCAUGGGGACGGAACAGGUCAGUGGCCAGGCUGGGAACAGAGUCCUGUGUCCUAAGCCACAUGGGCGGAACUUUUUGACCUUGUCAAAAUGCUUCCUUUCUAUUUUUUUUUAAAGUAAAAUGUUGAAAUUGACACGUUCCUGCAGAAAAUUUUGAUUUUGACAAAAUGGCAUUUUCUAGCCAUCUCUUUGGCCCAGAUCCUGAAAGGUAUUUAGGCUCCUAACUUCCACUAAAUCACUGUCUCACAGUGCAUUUUAGCCCUAUUCUUUCUCCACUGUUCUUCCACCUUUGUUUUCUUUCACCUUCCCCUUUCCCAGGAUCGCUUAUUCUCUCCCAACUGCCCUUCUCCCAGGAAAGACUCCUCCUCUCUCAUUGCCCACGUUAACCUGCCUGCAAUGGCAGUGAAGGGUUAAAGGGAGCUCAGUUAGCCUCUUCUGUGGCACCUGCUGGCAGAUAGGUCGUUAAGGAUUAGACCCAGCUGGGGAGAACCAGCCUGGGUAGUUCCUGUAAAGGAAGGACUGCAGGGAGUUGAGGAAAGCUGCAGUAGGGAGUGUGAACAUUAGGACUGGUCUUGCGGGGGAGGGUUACAGGAGAGAAGGGAACAUUUGGAGCUGACUAGGGAAACUGAGGCAAUGCUGCAUGAGCCACAAAGUGGCAAAGGAAGCAGGCGCCUCCAGCCCCGGAUCUGUUCUGUGAAAGGAACUGGGAGGCAGAUGAAGAGAGCCCCUGCAAUGCGGCCACCUCUGGGGGCGAGGGCAGCAGCCAGGUGGACAACUGAUGCACCGAACAGUCAUCCAUUGUAUGAAUGGGUGGUCGGGAGUCAAGCCUCUGUUCUACAUCUCCUCACACGACCUCCUGCAGCAUGGUGCCCCUAGCACCACCCUGCAGUGGUGGUUCAGGGGGAGAUUGCCACAUACUGGAGGAUGAAGACUGCUUUCUACAG